rnacentral:rRNA from 1 species
GCGAGCUUCGGGCCAUCAGCAGCUGUAAUACGGAGGGUGUGAUAGUGUGUCGGAAUUACUGGGGGUAAAGCGCUUGUAGGCGGUGUGUUAAGUCAGGGGUGAAAUGCCAAGGCUCAACCGUGGAACUGCCUUUGAUACUGGAGAGCGUGAGUCCGGGAGAGGUGAGUGGAAUUGCGAGUGUAGAGGUGAAAUUCGUAGAUAUUCGCAAGAACACCAGUGGCGAAGGCGGCUCACUGGCCCGGAACUGACGCUGAGACGCGAAAGCGUGGGGAGCAAACAGGAUUAGAUACCCGAGUAGUC